rnacentral:rRNA from 1 species
CAGUCGCCGCGGUAAAACGGAGGAUCCAAGCGUUAUCCGGAAUCAUUGGGUUUAAAGGGUCCGUAGGCGGUCUUGUAAGUCAGUGGUGAAAGCCCAUCGCUCAACGGUGGAACGGCCAUUGAUACUGCAGGACUUGAAUUAUUGGGAAGUAACUAGAAUAUGUAGUGUAGCGGUGAAAUGCUUAGAGAUUACAUGGAAUACCAAUUGCGAAGGCAGGUUACUACCAAUUGAUUGACGCUGAUGGACGAAAGCGUGGGUAGCGAACAGGAUUAGAUACCCCGGUAGUCCCUGUCUCUUAUAA